AGAGUUUGAUCAUGGCUCAGGACGAACGCUGGCGGCGUGCUUAACACAUGCAAGUCGAGCGAUGAAGUUCCUUCGGGAACGGAUUAGCGGCGGACGGGUGAGUAACACGUGGGUAACCUGCCUCAUAGAGGGGAAUAGCCUUCCGAAAGGAAGAUUAAUACCGCAUAAGAUUGUAGUUUCGCAUGAAACAGCAAUUAAAGGAGUAAUCCGCUAUGAGAUGGACCCGCGUCGCAUUAGCUAGUUGGUGAGGUAACGGCUCACCAAGGCGACGAUGCGUAGCCGACCUGAGAGGGUGAUCGGCCACAUUGGGACUGAGACACGGCCCAGACUCCUACGGGAGGCAGCAGUGGGGAAUAUUGCACAAUGGGGGAAACCCUGAUGCAGCAACGCCGCGUGAGUGAUGACGGUCUUCGGAUUGUAAAACUCUGUCUUCAGGGACGAUAAUGACGGUACCUGGUAGAG
rnacentral:rRNA from 1 species